rnacentral:rRNA from 1 species
AUUUGCUUGAAAUUUAAAGAAUUUGGCGGUAAUUUAGUCNUGUUAGAGGAACCUGUUUUUUAAUCGAUACUCCCCGUAAUAUCUUGCUUGCUUUAUUAGUUUGUAUACCAUCAUUAUCAGACAAUUUUGAAAAGAAUUGUUGAAAUUAAAAUUAAUUAAAAAAAUUAGAUCAAGGCGCAGUUAAUAAGAAAGUUAAAAUGGGUUACAAUAAAAUUUUAUUUAUUACGGAUAUAAUUAGUAAGGAUAAUUUAGGAAAAGGAGGAUUUAAUUGUAAUAUUAGUUUAAUAAGCUAAGAUGAUAAAAGUUCUAAAUUAUGUACACAUCGCC